CCUACGGGGGGCAGCAGUGGGGAAUAUUGGACAAUGGGGGGAACCCUGAUCCAGCCAUGCCGCGUGUGUGAAGAAGGCCCUCGGGUUGUAAAGCACUUUCAGUGAGGAAGAACGCCUGGUGGUUAAUACCCAUCAGGAAAGACAUCACUCACAGAAGAAGCACCGGCUAACUCCGUGCCAGCAGCCGCGGUAAUACGGAGGGUGCGAGCGUUAAUCGGAAUUACUGGGCGUAAAGCGCGCGUAGGUGGCUUGAUAAGCCGGUUGUGAAAGCCCCGGGCUCAACCUGGGAACGGCAUCCGGAACUGUCAAGCUAGAGUGCAGGAGAGGAAGGUAGAAUUCCCGGUGUAGCGGUGAAAUGCGUAGAGAUCGGGAGGAAUACCAGUGGCGAAGGCGGCCUUCUGGACUGACACUGACACUGAGGUGCGAAAGCGUGGGUAUCAAACAGGAUUAGAUACCCUAGUAGUC
rnacentral:rRNA from 1 species